UCCCUGACCAUCAUGUCUCGUUCCUUCCCCCCAGCCUUUGUGCGACACAUCUUGUCAGGGUGACGCCGCAGGGAGCUGGUCCGGAUGGUGCUGAGCGGCUGAAGACCCCUCCCCAUCAUUCUGUGCCCCCCACCCCUCGCAUCUUCUGUCCCCUCCUUGCUCAGUUUUGUGCCUUUUCCCCUCAUUUCCGCCACCACGGCCCCCCCAGAACCCCCCCAAUUCAGCCCCACCGGCUAAAUUAUUGCUCCACAGCAUCCAAUAAAAUCUGGGAAUGGUCACUGUGGCCCCCCCAA